UACGAGGGGUGCAAACGUUGUUCGGAAUCACUGGGCGUAAAGAGUGUGUAGACGGCUUAUCAAGCUCGUUGUUAAAUUUCCCGGCCUAACCGGGAACUCGCGAUGGGAACUGGUUUGCUAGAGGGUGAAAGAGAGAAGUGGAAUUCCCGGAGUAGCGGUAAAAUGCGUAGAUCUCGGGAGGAACACCGAUGGCGAAGGCAGCUUCUUGGUUCACAUCUGACGUUGAGACACGAAAGCGUGGGGAGCAAACAGG
rnacentral:misc_RNA from 1 species